rnacentral:pre_miRNA from 1 species
AAUAAACGAAUUUCUAAGUUUUUCUAUAGAAUUUUUGUCUCUUCAUCUUAUUUGAAUUUUUUUAAGAUUAAUAUUUUAAUUGUUAUCACAUGAUAAAACAUAACUAGUACUUUACGUGUGACUAAAUUUUUUUUAACUUUUUCAUAAAUUUUUCAAAUAAGACGGAUGGUCAAACGUCAAACCUAGAAAACUCAGAAAUGCUCUUUUU